CAAAGAAUAGUUUAAUAUAAAAUGCUGGUUUUGGGGGCCAGAGAUGGGUAUCCUUCUUUGA
rnacentral:tRNA from 1 species